CCAAUAGCGUAUAUUAAAGUUGUUGCAGUUAAAAAGCUCGUAGUUGAAUUUCAGGAUCAAGGGAUCGGUCAUGCCUUGGUAUGUACUGGUUUUAUUGGUUCUCACCUUCUAAAGAACCAUAAUGUCAUUCAUUUGAUGUUAUGGGGAAUUAGGACUGUUACCUUGAAAAAAUUAGAGUGUUUAAAGCAAGCUUACGCUUGAAUACAUUAGCAUGGAAUAAUGAAAUAGGACGUUUGACCCUAUUUUGUUGGUUUCUAGGAUCGACGUAAUGAUUAAUAGGGAUAGUUGGGGGCAUUAGUAUUCAAUUGUCAGAGGUGAAAUUCUUGGAUUUAUUGAAGACUAACUACUGCGAAAGCAUUUGCCAAGGAUGUUUUCAUUAAUCAAGAACGAAAGUUAGGGGAUCGAAGACGAUCAGAUACCGUCGUAGUCUUAACCAUAAACUAUGCCGACUAGGGAUCGGAUGAUGUUAAUUUUUUAAUGACUCAUUCGGCGCCUUACG
rnacentral:rRNA from 1 species